UACGUAGGGUGCGAGCGUUGUCCGGAAUUAUUGGGCGUAAAGAGCUCGUAGGCGGUGUGUCACGUCGGCCGUGAAAACCUGCAGCUUAACUGUGGGCGUGCGGUCGAUACGGGCAUCACUGGAGUUCGGCAGGGGAGACUGGAAUUCCUGGUGUAGCGGUGAAAUGCGCAGAUAUUGGGAGGAACACCAGUGGCGAAGGCGGCUCACUGGACCGGUUCUGACGCUGAGGCGCGAAAGCGUGGGGAGCAAACGGG
rnacentral:rRNA from 1 species